ACCAGUGUGGUGUAGGGGUUUGAGUGUUGGACUAUGAUGCUGGAGGACAGGGUUCAAAUCCCUGCUCAGCCA